rnacentral:rRNA from 1 species
GACGAACGCUGGCGGCGUGCUUAACACAUGCAAGUCGAACGGAAAGGCCCUGCUUUUGUGGGGUGCUCGAGUGGCGAACGGGUGAGUAACACGUGAGUAACCUGCCCUUGACUUUGGGAUAACUUCAGGAAACUGGGGCUAAUACCGGAUAGGAGCUCCUGCUGCAUGGUGGGGGUUGGAAAGUUUCGGCGGUUGGGGAUGGAUUCGCGGCUUAUCAGCUUGUUGGUGGGGUAGUGGCUUACCAAGGCUUUGACGGGUAGCCGGCCUGAGAGGGUGACCGGCCACGUUGGGACUGAGAUACGGCCCAGACUCCUACGGGAGGCAGCAGUGGGGAAUAUUGCACAAUGGGCGGAAGCCUGAUGCAGCAACGCCGCGUGCGGGAUGACGGCCUUCGGGUUGUAAACCGCUUUCGCCUGUGACGAAGCGUGAGUGACGGUAAUGGGUAAAGAAGCACCGGCUAACUACGUG